rnacentral:rRNA from 1 species
GAGUUUGAUCGUGGCUCAGGAUGAACGCUGGCGGCGUGCCUAAUACAUGCAAGUCGAGCGAACAGACGAGGAGCUUGCUCCUCUGACGUUAGCGGCGGACGGGUGAGUAACACGUGGAUAACCUACCUAUAAGACUGGGAUAACUUCGGGAAACCGGAGCUAAUACCGAAUAAUAUAUUGAACCGCAUGGUUCAAUAGUGAAAAACGGUUUUGCUGUCACUUAUAGAUGGAUCCGCGCCGCAUUAGCUAGUUGGUAGGGUAACGGCUUACCAAGGCGACGAUGCGUAGCCGACCUGAGAGGGUGAUCGGCCACACUGGAACUGAGACACGGUCCAGACUCCUACGGGAGGCAGCAGUAGGGAAUCUUCCGCAAUGGGCGAAAGCCUGACGGAGCAACGCCGCGUGAGUGAUGAAGGUCUUCGGAUCGUAAAACUCUGUUAUUAGGGAAGAACAAACGUGUAAGUAACUAUAGCACGUCUUGACGGUACCUAAUCAGAAAGCCACGGCUAACUACGUGCCAGCAGCCCGG